rnacentral:rRNA from 1 species
GACGAACGCUGGCGGCGUGCUUAACACAUGCAAGUCGAACGUGAUUUUUAUGGAAAGCCCUUCGGGGACGGAAGUAAAAUGAAAGUGGCGAACGGGUGAGUAACACGUGAGCAACCUACCUUACACAGGGGGAUAGCCGUUGGAAACGACGAUUAAUACCGCAUGAGACCACAAAGCCACAUGGCUUAGGGGUAAAAGAUUUAUCGGUGUAAGAUGGGCUCGCGUCUGAUUAGCUAGUUGGAAGGGUAAAGGCCUACCAAGGCGACGAUCAGUAGCCGGUCUGAGAGGAUGAACGGCCACAUUGGAACUGAGACACGGUCCAAACUCCUACGGGAGGCAGCAGUGGGGAAUAUUGCACAAUGGGGGGAACCCUGAUGCAGCGACGCCGCGUGAGCGAAGAAGGUUUUCGAAUCGUAAAGCUCUGUCCUAUGAGAAGAUAAUGACGGUAUCAUAGGAGGAAGCCCCGGCUAAAUACGUGCCAGCAGCCGCGGUAAUACGUAUGGGGCGAGCGUUGUCCGGAAUUAUUGGGCGUAAAGGGUACGUAGGCGGCCUUUUAAGUCAGGUGUGAAAGCGUGAGGCUUAACCUCAUUAAGCACUUGAAACUGGAAGGCUCGAGUGAAGGAGAGGAAAGUGGAAUUCCUAGUGUAGCGGUGAAAUGCGUAGAUAUUAGGAGGAAUACCGGUGGCGAAGGCGACUUUCUGGACUUUUACUGACGCUCAGGUACGAAAGCGUGGGGAGCAAACAGG